AACACAGCUCCGUUUUCCGCAUUGCUGCUGCUGCACUCGCCGCUGCGAACAUGGCGUCGGCCCUCCUCGGUCGCCAGGCCCGGCUGUCGGCCCUCACACCUGGCCUCUCCUCAGCGCUCAGCCCCGGGGGGAGAACCGGGACGGUGAGCCGGUCCGCCGUGUCCACGUCCUCCGGGGGUAUCCUGCCCAAGCCCAAGAAGACCCCCUUCGGCCUUUUCCGGAUUGCUCUCGUAGUGGUGCCCUUCUUGUAUGUGGGGACUCAGAUCAGCAAGAACUUUGCUGCGCUGCUGGAGGAGCACGACAUCUUCGUCCCCGAGGACGACGACGAUGAUGACUGAGGGGUCUGUAGGCUUCCCGGUUAUCAGAUUACCCUGCUGUGUCACUACUGCUGCCAAGUGUCUGUGGGCAGAUGAAUGCCUUGGUGAAGUUCCUUCUGCUGUGUUUUCAAGUCGCCUCUGUAGCACUGGAUUCAGGAUUUUAGCCGACCAAAGAACUACAGACUCUUCACAACCUGCUCAAACUCUUGUACAGGACCUCACCACACGGGUAAAGAAGGUUUCUGUCUCAUUUCUACUCUGAAGAUCACCUUCUCCUGCUCAAACUGCUGACAAAUGUUUCUGCUGCUCUAAAGUCUGGUCUCCAGAACUUCCUAAAAACUCUCAAAGUCUCUUCUGCUGCAGGUUGCUUUGUAGAACUGUUCCAGAAAACCUCACUAAACCACAUGGAGGGGCCUCAAGAUAGUUGUCCAAAUGAAACCGUACAAAAACCAAACUAGUACAACCCAAACGCUAAAGUCUCCUGCAGCCUACCAGAGAACCUCUGAGAACAGAGAAUCAGGACAGGAACUCUUACCUUCUGGACAACCAACGUUGGUUCACAAACAAGAAUACACAAUGUGUCUGACCAAAAACCUCUGAAGACUCACUACAGCCAAGAUAAAGACACAACUCAGCUGCAGCAAAUCCACUAAUCACUGCACACAUUAGCACCAUGUGAUAACUGUGGCUAAAGAACCACAUUUACCAAGACAGCUAUCCAGUACAAAGCCCUAAAACACACCAAGAAACACAUUAAAGCCUAUUUUACUGCUGGAAGCUGCAAGCCAACGCCUAAAGAACAACCUAAAGCGACGGAGCCAAACCCGGUUCACUGGUGAAGAGAAGAAGAGGAAAUGUUUGUCUGCAGCUAAAUAAAGCAGGAAGACACUGAGCUGCUCAGGUGUUCCUGAUAACACCAAGCAGCCACCUGGACAGCCAAUAGGAACACAUCUUACUGGAAGUCCAGAGGGCUGGGUUAGUGAAGGAAAUUUAGUUUAAAGUUGAAGCAGAAAGUUAACAAAGAAAGUUGAAAACCACCUUCUGAUACCUGAAAUCUCUGAGUUUUCACACAAAGAACACCUGAACAUGUCAAACUGGUUCCAUAGUAGAACCAUCAUUGUAAAAACGUCAUAGUAUGGUGUGUUGCUCAAAAAACAUUAGGACCCGGCUGUCAGGGGACAAACAUGUAAGAAACAUGAGAACAGAGAGAACCCAACCAGUAGGUCACAGUUUAUCAUCCCCCAGUCAUCUCCUGAAGUCCAUAUGGUGAGAGACAUCAGUAUCUGGUUGUUCAUUUACCAGAGGAUGCUUAUAAUCAUGCUGAUGUGGUCUGUACUCUACAGUAUUUUAGUGACUCAAUAAAUGCCUAAGUUGUUUUUUUUUUAAAUGCUUUUUAGUUUUUAAUAAACAUUUAACAGCCUAUAUGUAAUCAAUAAAUGGCCUUUGCCUGUCUUAAGAAAAACUCACUCAGAACUCUGAUAUGUUAACAGUACUAAAUAAAUCAAUAAAUACAUGCAUACACACAUAAAUAAGUUAAUACGUUAACUGUGUUAAGAUAAGAUUUAGAUUUUUUUUAAAAAGUUGUUUAUGUUUUUGCAGAAUCCAGUAUUGCUCACUGGUUGGUCAUUACAUUUUGUUAGUUUGAUUUCACUGUUUAAAAUGAUGCCACCUCUUUUCAGACAGAACCUGUGAUAAUAAAACAAUACAAAAUUUUUAGUUCCGUGUUAAUAAAGCACUUAAAGCUUUAAGUAUGGCUAAAUGCUUUUUUCAAAAUUAAAUAUAUCACUCCUUAGGUGGUAGUGGCCCAAAGUUCAGUAAAGUUGGAAAGAUAUUCACAGAUUCGGACUUCCAGCAUCAAUAACUCAUUAGAUAUAGGUUUUCAAAACAUAAACGGUGCCUCUUUCCCAUUGUUGCAAGGCAGACAAUGUGCUACAAGCCCAGUUUUAUCAAAAGUAGCUGUCUUUCAAGCUACAGGAAUAACAUUGGUGUCUAUGGAGUGAACAGGGUCCGUCUGCAAUUUGCAAAACCACUGCAACAGUAAAGAGAGACAAAUAUUCAAUAACUUCACUCUUAUACAUUGUAGUGUCACUAAAAUCACUGCAGCCUUCAACUGGCUCCUGUUGACAAAGUGUUUUAACAGAAAUGUAAAUGCUGUAAUUUGAUUCUUUUAAUGAAUCAUGUAACUUGAAUGGAUGUGAUGCUGGUGUGACCACAGUGCACACGUCUGAUGUUGCUCACAGUGGUCCAAGGAACGCUCAGGGAGUUUGUGUGUUUGCUCACACUCAGGAAAAAUUACAGGGAACAUUGAUGACAGAUAUUUCUUUUUUGGCAAUAUAUCAAAUUUUAUAUGGAAAAUCACUUUCAACUAAGUUACUCAUUACAAAAACACCUCUCAAUGAAGUGUGUUAAUUCCAGAUCACAUGACCUGCUCCACAUGAUGUCAUUUCCUCCUGAAGAAAAGACUGGCCAGACUCCAAGGCUUUCUGAGUUAUUUAAUAUAAAGUAGUGUGUGAGUCAAGUGUGGAUUUAUGGCAUGUCAACGGGUUUACUAUAAUAUCUUUAUAAAUAACUUUCAGUUUCAAUUUCACUCAAUUGUAUAUAUAAUAUUUAGAAGAAUAUUUCUAUAAAAAUGUCAUGUGGUGUUUGGUUAUAGGCAGUCAUGUUGAUUUUAGACCUGAAAACAGCAAAAAUGUCAACUAUGAUACAAAAAGUCCCACAAUUAUAUAUUGACCCAAGUAAUCAUAAUUGCCUCCUCUAGGUGGAGUACAACCAUCAUUAAUACAUACCGUGUUCUGUGAAAAAGGUUUUCAUUAAACUUGUCAUCAAA